rnacentral:rRNA from 1 species
UACGUAGGGACCAAGCGUUGUUCGGAUUUACUGGGCGUAAAGGGCGCGUAGGCGGCAAUUCAAGUCAUCUGUGAAAUCUCCGGGCUUAACCCGGAACGGUCAGAUGAUACUGCUUUGCUAGAGUGCGGAAGGGGCAAUCGGAAUUCUUGGUGUAGCGGUGAAAUGCGUAGAGAUCGGGAGGAACACCCGUGGCGAAGGCGGCCAUCUGGUCCAGCACUGACGCUGAGGCACGAAAGCGUGGGGAGCAAACAGG